UACGUAGGGGGCGAGCGUUGUCCGGAAUCAUUGGGCGUAAAGCGCGUGUAGGCGGCCCGGUAAGUCCGCUGUGAAAGUCCAGGGCUCAACCCUGGGAUGCCGGUGGAUACUGUCGGGCUCGAGUCCGGAAGAGGCGAGUGGAAUUCCGUGGUGUAGCGGUGAAAUGCGCAGGAUAUCAGGAGGAACACCAAUGGCGAAGGCAGCUCGCUGGGACGUGACUGACGCUGAGACGCGAAAGCGUGGGGAGCAAACAGGAUUGAGAUACCCCGAG
rnacentral:rRNA from 1 species